CCUUCUUUGAGUUAUCUUCUCUCAUCGUCUAUAAACUCAGGUUGCAUAACUACAUUCUGUUUUUUUUUUUUUUUUUUUUUUUUUUUUUUUUUUUUCUUUUCACUUACAGGGACUUACCAAUUUGGGCUUCGUCCAGGAGCUGAAAACUGAUUACAAAUUUGAAACAGAUUUCACUACAGGACUUGAACUCUACAUUAAAAAACAAUAAGCUUCCCAAAAUAAUUGAAAAAGAUCUUCACCCAAGAGUAGCUGCAAUGUGAAUGGCAGGAUAUGAAGCAAGUAAAAGAUGGUGAAAAGAUUAUCUUAUGCUGGGAAUUAAGUGAUGAAAGGGACCUCAGAAAUUAUCAACUCUAAAUGCUUCUUUAGAGGUGAGUGCCAGUGAGGAUGUGACGUGGCCAGUAUUAGUCACAUUGCUAAUUCCAGAGGCAGGAGUGAAACAA
rnacentral:lncRNA from 1 species